rnacentral:rRNA from 1 species
CCUACGGGUGGCAGCAGUGGGGAAUAUUGGACAAUGGGCGAAAGCCUGAUCCAGCCAUGCCGCGUGUGUGAAGAAGGCCUUCGGGUUGUAAAGCACUUUCAGUGGGGAAGAAAGCCUUGGGUCUAAUACCCUCGAGGAAGGACAUCACCCACAGAAGAAGCACCGGCUAACUCCGUGCCAGCAGCCGCGGUAAUACGGAGGGUGCGAGCGUUAAUCGGAAUUACUGGGCGUAAAGCGCGCGUAGGCGGUUUGAUAAGCCGGUUGUGAAAGCCCCGGGCUCAACCUGGGAACGGCAUCCGGAACUGUCAGGCUAGAGUGCAGGAGAGGAAGGUAGAAUUCCCGGUGUAGCGGUGAAAUGCGUAGAGAUCGGGAGGAAUACCAGUGGCGAAGGCGGCCUUCUGGACUGACACUGACGCUGAGGUGCGAAAGCGUGGGUAGCAAACAGGAUUAGAUACCCGAGUAGUC